ensembl:processed_transcript A230059L01Rik RIKEN cDNA A230059L01 gene
CCUAUAAAAGUUUACCAACACCAGAAAUAAAACUGAAAUCAAAUAAAUGACACCCUAUAAAAUUGCCAAAAAUCUUUUACAUAGCCAAGAAAAUUAAAGAAUUAACAGAGUAAAAAGAAUGCCAAGUAUAUUCAAAUAUAGUCUGAAUCUUUCUCUGGUAAGAAAUUUAUUUUUAACAUACAGAAAGAAGUUAAAAUAUCAUGACUUAUGAAUAAACAACCAACCUAAAAAUAAGUAAUAGAUUUAAAGAUAUCUCUGAAGUAAAACACACAAGUGAUUAAUCACAUAUGAAACAUUCAUUAUUCACAACACAUAUUAUUAGUAUAAUAAAGAAUGUGACCAAAAUUAGAUAUUUCUUUUCUUCAGUACAUUUAUCAAAGGCAAUGUCUAGUAGAUACAAGCCACAAAUUGUUAACAAGGACAUUGAAACAUGAGAAACCUUGUUGUGCAUGCUGGUGAGAGUAUAGAGUUGUAACUAUGUAUGAAAUAACAACAUUGUGGUUCCUCAAUAAAAUAAAUAAAUAAUUAAAAUCUAGGUUUUGUGAUAGGACACAGUAGCAGAACACUGUCCUAACAUAUACACAGCUAUGGAUGUGAAAUAAAAAAAAAUAUGAUGUUGUCAACCCAAUACUGUGGCAACCUGGAGGCUAUACUCUUUGAUACCUCUGUGGAAAUUAUCAAGCCAUAGCAACAAGAUGCAUGCAAACAAGUUGGCCAAAAUUGGUGUCCAGCCUAGUGACAAAUAUAUUAAAUAAAAACAAAAGUUUUUAUGUUUUUUUUCAGAAAAAUAUUUGGAAAAUACCCUUUGUAAUCAGUGUCUUGAAAAGUUCUAUGUUCUAAAUCUCUUAGGUUUUUCUACUGUGAAUUAGUAGGGCAUAAGAUUUCUCUCUCAUUUUUCAAAGUCAGCCUCCAUCAGGAGUUAAAAGGGAACAAUAAAUGUCUUUCUCUAGAGUUUAGAAUACUUUUCAGAACAUAUAAAAUGGAUGAAGGCUGACAUAGCAAGGUGUUUGUUUAGAAGACAUGUCACAGCAGAUUAAUGGAAAAUGUGGGUUCUGUUUACUCUAUUUAUGCAUCACUUAAAAUAAAUUCAGAUUUAUUAACAAAAUAAUGGGCAGUAAGGUACUUGUGCCUAGGUUAUUUAUCAUUUUCAUUAGUCUCUUAUAAUAACCAAAGAAUUUAUUAUUUUUGUAUAAUAAUUGGUCUAGUUAGAGAACCCCUGUUACUUUUGGUUGGUAUGUAAUACAAUCGUGUUUAAUGUCAGAAAAACAGCACAGAUUUGGUAUAUGGGGGAAAUGUCAGUGUGCUCAUAUUUGUUUUAAUGCUCAUAGAUGUUCUUUCUCCUGGACCUUUUGCUUUGUCUCUAGAGAAGUACUGAAUUCAAACUGCUACAUGUUGCAACAGUGUGGAAAGAUCAACAGAAAAGGAGGUACCCCAGUCUCCAUCUCAUGGCCCUUGGAUAGAAACCUUAAAUAAAAUCUCCCAGUUACUAGCAUACAUAUGGUUGCACAAUGAAAGUAUGAAAACAGAAUGUAAGGAUUUAGAGCUACCCUGCCUAAAAUUCCCAUCUCAAGUUUCCAGUAUGUUUUUUUUAAACAAUUGAGGAUGCCAUUGAAAUUCUAUUUGAGUAUUUUUUAUAGAAAAUUACUAUAUCAAAUUCAGUGUCUGUUUAGUAUUGAAUGCAAAACAAGAUUCUUAGACAAUUCUCAUAUAAAUUCUUUUAGGAAAUAAUGAUAUUUUAUUAACCAAAAAUUGUCUCAAGAUAUCAAUAUUAUUUUAUACUCUGACAAACCAUUUUAUUGUAUGAUUUAAGGCAAAUAUAUACUGGCCAUGUUUUCUGCUGUAUUAACUAUAUUGUGAAAUACAAAACAAUGUAGCUUCUACAGAUUUGUACUGCAUUUUUGAAAUGGAUAUGAAAAUCAAGGUGUCUAAGUCCUUCAGAUUGCUGCGGCUUCAACUAAGAAGCCUUAUACAAGUAUUUCAGGUGUCAUCAGGUUCCCAAUGAUGUGUGUGAUAGUUUGUAUAUGCUUGGCCCAGGGAGUGGCACUAUUUGGAGUUGUGGCCUUAUUGGACUAAGUGUGUCACUGUGGGCAUGAUCUUCAUUGCCCUCAUCCUAACUGCCUGGGAGGCAGUCCUUUCCUAGCAGCCUCUAGAUGAAGAUGUAGAACUCUCAACUCCUCCUGCACCAUGCUUGCUUGCACUCUGUCAUGCUUCAACCUUGGUGAUAAUGGACUGAAGCCCCAGUUAAAUGUUAUUCUCAUAAGAGUUGCCAUGGUCAUGUU